UACGAAGGACCCGAGCGUUAUCCGGAUUCACUGGGUUUAAAGGGUGCGUAGGCGGAUAUGUAAGUCCGUGGUGAAAUCUCUGGGCUUAACCCGGAAACUGCCAUGGAUACUAUGUGUCUUGAAUGUUGUUGAGGUGAGCGGAAUAUGUCAUGUAGCGGUGAAAUGCUUAGAUAUGACAUAGAACACCAAUUGCGAAGGCAGCUCACUAAGCAAAUAUUGACGCUGAGGCACGAAAGCGUGGGGAUCAAACAGG
rnacentral:rRNA from 1 species